UUGACCUCAAAUCAGGUAGGACUACCCGCUGAACUUAAGCAUAUCAAUAAGCGGAGGAAAAGAAACUAACAAGGAUUCCCCUAGUAACUGCGAGUGAAGCGGGAAAAGCUCAAAUUUAAAA
rnacentral:rRNA from 1 species